rnacentral:lncRNA from 1 species
UGUUUGAUCUAUUUUACAUCUCUUUAAUGAUUUCUAUUGAAAACAUUCGGCUGAUGCAGAAUUGCAAACAGAACCAAAGACAAAAAAUUCUUUAUCCCCGAUCCCUGUUUCUCCUUUUUGGGAACUAUUUUCGGUUUUGAGUCAAUUCAAUUGAGAAUAUAUGCAGUGUAAUUCUUUCCUGACCACUAUGGUCCAAGGACUGAUGAUCAAUGUAAUUUCAAGCCACACCCUUAUAUUAUGCACCUUUUCUCUAGAGCUUUGAGAACCGUGGCUGCUUCUAUCCUAUGCAAAAUAUCAUACAGGAUUUUGCACACAGGAUGAUCAAUAACCAUAAGCACACUUCCCAAUAUCCAGAUCCUGUUCAUAAUGCGAUAUCUUGUAUCACCAAAAUAGCUGGUAGCCAUUAGAAGAGGCCACCCAAGAUUAUCUGUACAUAACAAGUUGACAGAUCAAUGCCUCAAGAUGUUGAUGUUUGAUCCGACUUUCGGAAAGUUCUAAAACAAGGGAAACCUCACCACGUGUAUAUGAUCAACUCUGGGGCAACAUCAUGGGCUGCUGAAAAAUGACAUUAGCAGAAAGCGAUGCAGUCUAGUCUUCUGAAGGAAAGGAACAGCUCUUUUUGUGAGUUGAUGCUCUAAAAGCUCUGUCACAGACUAAAGAACAGCUAACAUGAACCUGGUUUUUCUCGCAUUGUUUGAGACUGUCGAGACAGAUUUAAGAGGGGAAGUGUACGUUUAAAACAGCUUGAUAGAUGUAGUUCUUCUUUUGGUUGCUUCCAGUUCCCAGGAAUGAAGAUGUAUUGCUAACAACAUACGAAAGUACAGUAGGAU